rnacentral:rRNA from 1 species
GUACCCGCUGAACUUAAGCAUAUCAAUAAGCGGAGGAAAAGAAACCAACAGGGAUUGCCCUAGUAACGGCGAGUGAAGCGGCAACAGCUCAAAUUUGAAAUCUGGCGUCUUUGGCGUCCGAGUUGUAAUUUGCAGAGGGCGCUUUGGCAUUGGCAGCGGUCCAAGUUCCUUGGAACAGGACGUCACAGAGGGUGAGAAUCCCGUACGUGGUCGCUAGCCUUUACCGUGUAAAGCCCCUUCGACGAGUCGAGUUGUUUGGGAAUGCAGCUCUAAAUGGGAGGUAAAUUUCUUCUAAAGCUAAAUACUGGCCAGAGACCGAUAGCGCACAAGUAGAGUGAUCGAAAGAUGAAAAGCACUUUGGAAAGAGAGUUAAAAAGCACGUGAAAUUGUUGAAAGGGAAGCGCUUGCAGCCAGACUUGCCUGUAGUUGCUCAUCCGGGUUUUUACCCGGUGCACUCUUCUACGGGCAGGCCAGCAUCAGUUUGGGCGGUUGGAUAAAGGUCUCUGUCAUGUACCUCCUUUCGGGGAGAUCUUAUAGGGGAGACGACAUGCAACCAGCCUGGACUGAGGUCCGCGCAUCUGCUAGGAUGCUGGCGUAAUGGCUGUAAGCGGCCCGUCUUGAAACACGGACCAAGGAGUCUAACAUCUAUGCGAGUGUUUGGGUGUCAAGCCCGAGCGCGUAAUGAAAGUGAACGGAGGUGGGAACCUUUCGGGGUGCACCAUCGACCGAUCCUGAUGUCUUCGGAUGGAUUUGAGUAAGAGCAUAGCUGUUGGGACCCGAAAGAUGGUGAACUAUGCUUGAAUAGGGUGAAGCCAGAGGAAACUCUGGUGGAGGCUCGCAGCGGUUCUGACGUGCAAAUCGAUCGUCAAAUUUGGGCAUAGGGGCGAAAGACUAAUCGAACUAUCUAGUAGCUGGUUCCUGCCGAAGUUUCCCUCAGGAU